rnacentral:rRNA from 1 species
CAAUAGCGUAUAUUAAAGUUGUUGCAGUUAAAAAGCUCGUAGUUGGAUUUCUGGUGGGAGCGAUCGGUCUGGCGCUUAGCGCGAGUACUUGCAUCGUCUCCGGCCAUCCUUGGGGAAAGUCUGUCUGGCAUUAAGUUGUCGGGCAGAGGAUCCUCAUCGUUUACUGUGAAAAAAUUAGAGUGUUCAAAGCAGGCUUAUGCCGUUGAAUAUAUUAGCAUGGAAUAAUAAGAUAGGACUUUGGUACUAUUUUGUUGGUUUGCGCACCAAAGUAAUGAUUAAUAGGGACAGUUGGGGUAUUCGUAUUCCGUUGUCAGAGGUGAAAUUCUUGGAUUUACGGAAGACGAACUACUGCGAAAGCAUUUACCAAGGAUGUUUUCAUUAA